GUUUGUUACCCUUAAACAAAGCAAAAGCCAAAAAGCAUCAUCUUUACGAAGUAUCAGAAACUGGAAAGGCAAAUUGCAUUUUCUUUCAUCACAACACUCCUUGUAUGUUCACAAAAACUAUUGCUUCAAUGAAACACAUUCUCAUUCAUAAUGAAUGAUGCUCUCUUAUCAUUGUUGUUCUAUCAUUAAUUUUUUUAUUUUAUUUAUUUUUUUUUAAUCAAGCAGUAAGUUUAUCAUAUUUGCAACUUCAAAUGUUUGAUCCAAACCGUCCAAAAAUUAACAAAAGGACAAAUUACGUCAAAUCAGUAAGUAGUAGGAUCGUUUAGUUAUGAUCAUUGGAAAUUGUUUCAGUGAUCGGCUCGGUUGCAAGUCGUUUAAACUUGACAACCAAAUAUGAAACAUUUGUGAUUGCCAAAUUCAUCUUUCGUUGAGAAGUCAUCCUUUCUCUCUUUCUUUUCCAUACUUCAUAUACACUCUCUACUACUUAACAAGGUUCGACCAACUUUGUUUCAAGAAAUUUUGCCUUCCUCCGCAUUCGCGUAAAAAUUUCAUCCACUUUCCUUACCUUCCUUCUAUCCGAUUGCAAUUUUUUACAGGCACGAGUGCCUCGGAUGGAUAAGGCUUGAAACACCCGAGGCAACACAAAGAAAAAUAUUUUUUGCAUUCUGAAUACCACUAAUUGUUAGUUGACUAAACAAACGACGAAAGGCAUGCUUGACUCACUCAUGUAAUUUCACAUUCCUUGGUUUAUAUAUUAAUUCAUUUGGAUGCCUGUCAGAUAAAUUGUUCAGCUCUCGUACUUCCGUUUUUAUCCCACUUAAAUCAUAUGUUUCAUGGCAUAAAAUUAGUACCAUCUACGCGCGGGUUUAACUGUUAGUAAAAAAUUGCCUUUUACUCUACAACAAGACAAACAAAUGAUUCAUCUAGAAAAGUAGCGUGCUGUUAUCGAUAGACAAACAUAAUAACUGGUAGUUUUGUGAUAGUAAGAAUAAUGAUGAAUAUUUUUGUUUUAAAAAUAAGA